GACCGAGGUGCCAAGCGUUAGGCGGAAUCUCUGGGCUUAAAGCGGGUGUAGGCGGGCGAUCAAGUACCUUGUGAAAUCCCACGGCUCAACCGUGGAACUGCUGGGUAUACUGGUUGUCUUGAGCCAGCUAGGGGCGAGCGGAACAGACGGUGGAGCGGUGAAAUGCGUAGAUAUCGGGAGGAACAUCUGUGGCGAAGGCGACACCCUGGACCAGCACUGACACUGAGGCACGAAAGCGUGGGGAGCAAACAGG
rnacentral:rRNA from 1 species